rnacentral:rRNA from 1 species
GAUGAACGCUGGCGGCGUGCCUAAUACAUGCAAGUCGAGCGAACAGACGAGGAGCUUGCUCCUCUGACGUUAGCGGCGGACGGGUGAGUAACACGUGGAUAACCUACCUAUAAGACUGGGAUAACUUCGGGAAACCGGAGCUAAUACCGGCUAAUAUAUUGAACCGCAUGGUUCAAUAGUGAAAGACGGUUUUGCUGGCACUUAUAGAUGGAUCCGCGCCGCAUUAGCUAGUUGGUAAGGUAACGGCUUCCCAGGGCAACGAUGCGUAGCCGACCUGAGGGGGUGAUGGCCCACUCGGAAGCUGAGAACGGGCCCAACCCCCCAGGGGGGGCGGCGUGGGGAACUCUACCGAAUGGGGCAAAACCCUGCGGGCGCAACGCCGCGGGGGUAAUAAGGGUCUUCGGCUCGAAAACCUCUGUUUUGAGGAAAGAAAAAAUGUGAAAGUAACGAUGAACGUCUGACCGGUACCUAAUAGAAAGGCACGGCCAACCACCGG